GAUGAAGAACGUAGCGAAAUGCGAUAAGUAAUGUGAAUUGCAGAAUUCAGUGAAUCAUCGAAUCUUUGAACGCACAUUGCGCCCAUUAGUAUUCUAGUGGGCAUGCCUGUUCGAGCGUCAUUUCAACCCUUAAGCCUAGCUUAGUGUUGGGAAUCUGCUGUAUUGCAGUUCCUCAGAUACAACGGCGGAUCUGUAACAUCCUCUGAGCGUAGUAAAUUUUUAUCUCGCUUUUGUUAGGUGUUGCAGCUCUCAGCCGCUAAACCCCCCAAUUUUUGUGGUUGACCUCGGAUCAGGUAGGAAUACCCGCUUAACUUAAGCAUAUCAAUAAGCGGAGGA
rnacentral:misc_RNA from 1 species